rnacentral:rRNA from 1 species
GGCGUGCCUAACACAUGCAAGUCGAGCGAUGAAGUUCCUUCGGGAAUGGAUUAGCGGCGGACGGGUGAGUAACACGUGGGUAACCUGCCUCAUAGAGGGGAAUAGCCUUCCGAAAGGAAGAUUAAUACCGCAUAAUGUAGUACCUUCGCAUGAAGGAACUAUCAAAAGAGCAAUCUGCUAUGAGAUGGACCCGCGGCGCAUUAGCUAGUUGGUGAGGUAACGGCUCACCAAGGCGACGAUGCGUAGCCGACCUGAGAGGGUGAUCGGCCACAUUGGAACUGAGACACGGUCCAGACUCCUACGGGAGGCAGCAGUGGGGAAUAUUGCGCAAUGGGGGAAACCCUGACGCAGCAACGCCGCGUGAAUGAAGAAGGCCUUCGGGUUGUAAAGUUCUGUCUUAUGGGAAGAUAAUGACGGUACCAUAGGAGGAAGCCACGGCUAACUACGUGCCAGCAGCCGCGGUAAUACGUAAGUGGCAAGCGUUGUCCGGAUUUACUGGGCGUAAAGGAU